CCUACGGGAGGCAGCAGUGGGGAAUAUUGCACAAUGGGCGAAAGCCUGAUGCAGCGACGCCGCGUGAGGGAUGACGGCCUUCGGGUUGUAAACCUCUUUCAGCUCCGACGAAGCGAAAGUGACGGUAGGAGCAGAAGAAGCACCGGCCAACUACGUGCCAGCAGCCGCGGUAAUACGUAGGGUGCAAGCGUUGUCCGGAAUUAUUGGGCGUAAAGAGCUCGUAGGCGGCUUGUCGCGUCGGCUGUGAAAACCUGGGGCUCAACUCCGGGCCUGCAGCCGAUACGGGCAAGCUAGAAUUCGGUAGGGGAGACUGGAAUUCCUGGUGUAGCGGUGAAAUGCGCAGAUAUCAGGAGGAACACCGGUGGCGAAGGCGGGUCUCUGGGCCGAUAUUGACGCUGAGGAGCGAAAGCGUGGGGAGCGAACAGGAUUAGAUACCCUGGUAGUCCACGCCGUAAACGUUGGGCGCUAGGUGUGAGCCACAUUCCACGUGGUCUGUGCCGCAGCUAACGCAUUAAGCGCCCCGCCUGGGGAGUACGGCCGCAAGGCUAAAACUCAAAGGAAUUGACGG
rnacentral:rRNA from 1 species